rnacentral:rRNA from 1 species
CGAACGCGUACAUAGGAGCAAUCCUAGGUGCGAGUGGCAGACGGGUGAGUAACGCGUGGAUAAUCUACCUCCGAGUGGGGAAUAUCCUUCCGAAAGGGAGGGCAAUACCGCAUAACAUCGCGAGGGCUUCGGCCCAUGCGAUCAAAGCUGGGGACUGGGAAACCGGCCUGGCGUUUGGAGAGGAGUUCGCGUUGGAUUAGCUAGUUGGUGAGGUAACGGCUCACCAAGGCGACGAUCCAUAGCCGGCCUGAGAGGGUGAUCGGCCACACUGGAACUGAGACACGGUCCAGACUCCUACGGGAGGCAGCAGUGGGGAAUUUUGCGCAAUGGGGGAAACCCUGACGCAGCAACGCCGCGUGGGUGAUGAAGCAUCUUGGUGUGUAAAGCCCUGUCAACGGGGACUAAGGUACGGUAUUGAAUAGAUGCCGUGCUUGAAUGUACCUGUGGAGGAAGCCCCGGCUAACUCUGUGCCAGCAGCCGCGGUAAUACAGAGGGGGCAAGCGUUAUUCGGAAUUAUUGGGCGUAAAGGGCGCGUAGGCGGCUCGGUCAGUGGAAAGUGAAAGCCCUCGGCUCAACCGAGGAACUGCUUACCAUACUGCUGAGCUAGAGGAUGGGAGAGGAGAGUGGAAUUCCCGGUGUAGCGGUGAAAUGCGUAGAGAUCGGGAGGAACACCAGUGGCGAAGGCGGCUCUCUGGACCAU